rnacentral:rRNA from 1 species
AAUGAACGCUGGCGGCGCGCCUAAUACAUGCAAGUCGAACGCGACUGGGGGCUUCGGCCUCAGUUGAGUGGCGAACGGGUGAGUAACACGUGGGUGACCUACCUUCGAAUGGGGGAUAACGUCCCGAAAGGGACGCUAAUACCGCAUAACAUCCUGCCUUUGAACAGGCGGAGAUCAAAGCCGGGGAUCGCAAGACCUGGCGUUUGAAGAGGGGCCUGCGUCCGAUUAGCUAGUUGGUGAGGUAACGGCUCACCAAGGCGACGAUCGGUAGCCGGCCUGAGAGGGCGGACGGCCACACUGGGACUGAGACACGGCCCAGACCCCUACGGGAGGCAGCAGUGGGGAAUUGUUCGCAAUGGGCGCAAGCCUGACGACGCAACGCCGCGUGGAGGAUGAAGGUC